CCUACGGGAGGCAGCAGUGGGGAAUAUUGCACAAUGGGGGAAACCCUGAUGCAGCCAUGCCGCGUGUGUGAAGAAGGCCUUCGGGUUGUAAAGCACUUUCAGUAGGGAGGAAGGUAGUGUAGUUAACACCUGCACUAUUUGACGUUACCUACAGAAGAAGCACCGGCUAACUCCGUGCCAGCAGCCGCGGUAAU
rnacentral:rRNA from 1 species